CAGGCACUGACCUUGAAUCUCGCGUCAGCCAAUAGGAGCUCAGACAUGGCGGGACCCAAAAAGAAAUGCCCUAAGCCACUGCGAAUCUCGACCAGGAAAACCCCCGAAAGAACGUCUCCAUCAGCCCUCUGUCGAUGACUGCUCGUGGCGGCGGGGCCGGCUCGGGGCCCCGGUUCGGUGCCUCGCCGUGCCGCAGCGACUCAUCCGGCUUCCAGAGCCUUCCCAGCCCCGCCAGCGCCAGCCCCGACGGCAGCCGCUGCAGCGACGGUGAGCGACUCUUCACCAACCGCAGCAACAUGCAGAUCAAGAGCAGUGAGAGCGCCGAGUCCGUGAGCACGCGCGCCAGCACCUGCAGCCGCGGGGUGCGCCAGGCGGGU